rnacentral:rRNA from 1 species
UACGAAGGGGGCUAGCGUUGCUCGGAAUCACUAGGCGUAAAGCGCACGUAGGCGGCUUGUUAAGUCAGGGGUGAAAUCCUGGAGCUCAACUCCAGAACUGCCUUUGAUACUGGCGAGCUUGAGUCCGGGAGAGGUGAGUGGAACUGCGAGUGUAGAGGUGAAAUUCGUAGAUAUUCGCAAGAACACCAGUGGCGAAGGCGGCUCACUGGUCCGGUACUGACGCUGAGGUGCGAAAGCGUGGGGAGCAAACAGG